rnacentral:rRNA from 1 species
UACGUAGGGUGCGAGCGUUACUCGGAAUUACUGGGCGUAAAGCGUGCGCAGGCGGUUCGUUGUGUCUGAUGUGAAAGCCCCGGGCUUAACCUGGGAAUGGCAUUGGAAACUGGCGAGCUGGAGUGUGGCAGAGGGGGGUGGAAUUCCGCGUGUAGCAGUGAAAUGCGUAGAGAUGCGGAGGAACACCGAUGGCGAAGGCAGCCCCCUGGGCCAACACUGACGCUCAGACACGACAGCAUGGGGAGCGAACGGG